AUCAUGUUAUUUGCAACACUCGUAUCUAAAUCCAACACGGAAUACACAAAUGCAAACGUCUCCGUGGUACAAACGGUUCACGGAUACUGGAGAAAACAGCUGCAGUUUAUCAGCGCCUUGGCGAGCGGUCUCGGCUAGGAAACUGUGCUUCAACACCGUGGGCCGUUUUGUUUUCGUUUCGUUCCCGCAAACGACUCGUCGUAAUCCGUUCGUACCUGUAAUUUUCGGCCUAGUCGGCGAACGGUCGUUUUUUGGAUGUGACUCAUUGUUUUUCACAACGAACGGGAGAAACCGACGAUUUCUAAUGGUUUCUGGGUCGCCCCGACACGAAUGGGAGCAAUACGACACUCUGCUCAGAAUAGUUUUUCGACAUUAACGGUUUAUCAUCGCGUACAUGUAUACACUGAAUUACCAUACAAUAUACACAAUCCCUUGAAACUUUAUUCCUUCUUAAACGACGCACAACCUUUGGCAGUAUCAGCUUUUUUCUUUAAAAUGU